rnacentral:rRNA from 1 species
GAUGAACGCUGGCGGCGUGCCUAAUACAUGCAAGUCGAGCGAACAGAUAAGGAGCUUGCUCCUUUGAAGUUAGCGGCGGACGGGUGAGUAACACGUGGGUAACCUACCUAUAAGACUGGGAUAACUUCGGGAAACCGGAGCUAAUACCGGAUAACAUUUAGAACCGCAUGGUUCUAAAGUGAAAGAUGGUUUUGCUAUCACUUAUAGAUGGACCCGCGCCGUAUUAGCUAGUUGGUAAGGUAACGGCUUACCAAGGCGACGAUACGUAGCCGACCUGAGAGGGUGAUCGGCCACACUGGAACUGAGACACGGUCCAGACUCCUACGGGAGGCAGCAGUAGGGAAUCUUCCGCAAUGGGCGAAAGCCUGACGGAGCAACGCCGCGUGAGUGAUGAAGGGUUUCGGCUCGUAAAACUCUGUUAUUAGGGAAGAACAAAUGUGUAAGUAACUGUGCACAUCUUGACGGUACCUAAGCAGAAAGCCACGGCUAACUACGU